AGUGAACGCUGGCGGUAGGCCUAACACAUGCAAGUCGAACGGCAGCACAGUAAGAGCUUGCUCUUACGGGUGGCGAGUGGCGGACGGGUGAGGAAUACAUCGGAAUCUACUUUUUCGUGGGGGAUAACGUAGGGAAACUUACGCUAAUACCGCAUACGACCUACGGGUGAAAGCAGGGGAUCUUCGGACCUUGCGCGAUUGAAUGAGCCGAUGUCGGAUUAGCUAGUUGGCGGGGUAAAGGCCCACCAAGACGACGAACCGUAGCUGGUCUGAGAGGAUGGUCAGCCACACUGGCACUGACACACGGUCCCGACCCAUACGGGAGGCAGCAGUGGGGAAUAUCGAGCAAUGGGCGCAAGCCUGAUCCAGCCAUACCGCGUGGUUGAAGAAGGUCUUCGGGUUGUAAAGCCCUUUUGUUGGGAAAGACAAGCAGCAGGUUAAUACCCAGAUGUUCUGACGGUACCCAAAGAAUAAGCACCGGCUAACUUCGUG
rnacentral:rRNA from 1 species